CCUACGGGAGGCAGCAGUGGGGAAUUUUCCGCAAUGGGCGAAAGCCUGACAGAGCAAUACCGCGUGAGGGAUGAAGACUUACUGAGUUGUAAACCUCGGUGCCUUAAGGAAGAAGAUAUGACGGUACUUAAGGUGGAAAGCAUCGGCUAACUCCGUGCCAGCAGCCGCGGUAAGACGGGGGAUGCAAGUGUUAUCCGGAAUCACUGGGCGUAAAGCGUCUGCAGGUGGUUUUCUAAGUCUACUGUUAAACCUUGAGGCUCAACCUCAAAUCUGCAGUGGAAACUAGGAGACUUGAGUAUAGUAGGGGUAGAGGGAAUUCCUGGUGUAGCGGUGAAAUGCGUAGAGAUCAGGAAGAACAUCGGUGGCGAAGGCGCUUUGCUGGACCAUAACUGACACUCAGGGACGAAAGCUAGGGGAGCGAAUGGGAUUAGAUACCCCUGUAGUC
rnacentral:rRNA from 1 species